CCUAGGGAGUCAGCAGUGAGGAAUAUUGGUCAAUGGACGAGAGUCUGAACCAGCCAAGUAGCGUGAAGGAUGACUGCCCUAUGGGUUGUAAACUUCUUUUAUAUGGGAAUAAAAUGUUCCACGUGUGGGAUUUUGUAUGUACCAUAUGAAUAAGGAUCGGCUAACUCCGUGCCAGCAGCCGCGGUAAUACGGAGGAUCCGAGCGUUAUCCGGAUUUAUUGGGUUUAAAGGGAGCGUAGGUGGAUUGUUAAGUCAGUUGUGAAAGUUUUCGGCUCAACCGUAAAAUUGCAGUUGAAACUGGCAGUCUUGAGUACAGUAGAGGUGGGCGGAAUUCGUGGUGUAGCGGUGAAAUGCGUAGAUAUCACGAAGAACUCCGAUUGCGAAGGCAGUUCACUGGACUGCAACUGACACUGAGGCUCGAAAGUGUGGGUAUCAAACAGGAUUAGAUACCCCUGUAGUC
rnacentral:rRNA from 1 species